GCUGAGUGGAGUCAGAGCCCUUCGAGAUGCUGGUUAAGUCAACUAUUUAAGCAGCUUAACAAGCAACUGAAAAUAAGACAUUGCGGAAGCACUUAACACGUGCGAGGUAAUUUUACCAUUUGCCAGCUCUUGGGAAUCUGUGAGGAGCAAGGCCUGGCGAAGCCCUAGCCUCCUUACCAUCUGCCUGGCACAUGAUUUUAUUUAUUUGUCAGAGAGAGAGCACAAGCGCACA